rnacentral:rRNA from 1 species
CCUACGGGAGGCAGCAGUGGGGAAUAUUGCGCAAUGGGCGAAAGCCUGACGCAGCGACGCCGCGUGAGGGAUGAAGGUCUUCGGAUCGUAAACCUCUGUCAGCAGGGAAGAACGGUCACUUUGCUAAUCAGCAGUGAAUUGACGGUACCUGCAAAGGCAGCACCGGCUAACUCCGUGCCAGCAGCCGCGGUAAUACGGAGGGUGCGAGCGUUAAUCGGAAUUACUGGGCGUAAAGCGCUCGUAGGCGGUAUGUCAAGUCAAGGGUGAAAUCCCCGCGCUCAACGUGGGAACUGCCUUUGAAACUGGCAAACUGGAGUGUGGGAGAGGAGAGUGGAAUUCCAGGUGUAGGAGUGAAAUCCGUAGAUAUCUGGAGGAACAUCAGUGGCGAAGGCGACUAUCUGGAACAUAACUGACGCUGAGGAGCGAAAGCGUGGGUAGCAAACAGGAUUAGAUACCCUUGUAGUC